UUUACUUGUAAACAAACCAUUCCGCUCACUUUGAGCUGAAGCUUUGCUCUUGUUGGUCUGAAACAUAGAAAACGUUGCCGAGGACUGACUAGCAGGCAUGGAGGAAGCUGAGGAGGACGAGGAGGAGGAGGAGCUGGGUACAGGUGGACUUCCUUUCAUUUCUUCCUGUCUGUUCGUGCGCGUUCAGGCGCAAAGGAGAACAUCCGCCAUCUGAAGAUUUCUGUUACACUGUACAGACAUUAUGAGCCACAACUUUACAGUCACUUAUGAGUGUAUAAUAUAAACUGUAUAAUAUUAUUAUAAGGUAUAUAAUAUAAAUUAUCACCUUACAAUGGGGCCGUGUACCAUUAUAGUGUUUUCUUUUUCCUUUUUUUGUGUUGUGUUGGGCGAUUUUUUUUUAAAGUACAAUAUGCUUUUUACUCCUGGAAGAAAUAUUGAAUAUAUAUUUAUAUACAUUCAGUGCGUCCAAUCAGUUCCACUCAUUAAUAUUAAUUUAAUUCAAGCAAUUAAGUAAUAUUUUUUCAGGGCUUGAAACUGCAACCAUUGUAGUCACAUAUGUUAUCUGUGCGACUUCAUUAAUAGUUACUGUUGGAACUUGUGUUUGUUGUUGCAAUGUGUUUAAAAACAGACUGAAAUAAUAUCAGUCAACAAAUUCUCAGUCUUUGGUAGCUGUUUGGGGGCUAAGCCUCCCCUGUCCUUAAAACCUAGUGACGCCCCUGUGUGGCGCUGUGCAUUAAAAAUCUCAACAAAAAUCCAUCUGUGCCUUCUGCAACCAGUUUACAUUCUGUUCACGUCCUCAUUUGUCCAGGCUUAUGUAUUUUAUUUGCUGUAAAAAAUUUACACCACGUGUUAAUACCUAACCGUUUUGUUGACUUCGAUCACUUUGAUCAUCUUUGUGUCAACGUGGACAUUUGUGACACAGUUUACCCGAGCAAACGUAUUGCACAUAAUAGGUAAUGUUUUAGCCACCUAGACAAACAUUAACAGUAAUGCAUAGCGGGGCACGGCAGCUGUUCGCUCACAGACACAGCAGCAGUCUGAGUCAGUGCACUGAUCUUGAUUUUGAGGUAAAGCACACCUCUACCUUAAUAUGUGUAAUACAUUUCUAUAAAGCAAACCUAGAGUGAGGUGUAAUUUACACUGCGAAGAAUAGGCUAGGUUAAAUUUAGUAAUUAAGACAGGGAGUUAUUUGAGAAACACAAUGAGAAAUUAAAUCAUUCAGAAAGGAGACUUUUCAUUUGCUGUUCAUUUAAUCGUUUCAAUUAAACAGCAACAUGCCAGCCCCCUAUACACAGUACAAUUUAUUAGUAUGAGUGCUGCAGCCCUCCUUGUUAUCUCUCUCCUUUUCUGCUCACACCGAACCAGCCAGGCUGAGAAGAAGGAAAGAAACCUCAGGAAGAACAGCCAAACUGAAGCCACUUCAUUAAUGCGCCAACGGUCAAACACGAUCAAGCUGGUCUUACUUCCUCUGCUACCAGAAGAUAGAGCCAACAAACAGUGCCUUUUUUUUUAUUUAAGUGUACGCAUCCACAAGUAAAGAUUAAAACAAUUUUGACAGUUUUUUUAAAUAACCAAUUCGACAGCAUAUUCCAUGUUUCACCAAACACAUAUUGGCCUAAAAAUAAGGGCAGCUGAUGGUGAUGUCGUCAUAAAUAGCGUCCUCUGAUAUUUAAUCAAUCACAUGUUACAGCUGAAAUGUACAAAGCCCACGGUAAAAUAAACUGAGACAUUAUUAGCAA